rnacentral:lncRNA from 1 species
AUCACCCCCCCCCGUCUACAGGGGAACAACGGGUAUAUCACCCCCCGUCUACAGGGGAAUAACGGGUAUAUUACACCCCCCCGUCUACAGGGGAACAGGUAUAUCACCCCCCAUCUACAGGGGAACAACGGGUAUAUCCCACCCCCCAUCUACAGGGGAACAACUGGUAUAUCACCCCCCCCCGUCUACAGGGGAACAACGGGUAUAUCACCCCCCGUCUACAGGGGAACAACGGGUAUAUCACCCCCCCAUCUACAGGGGAACAACGGGUAUAUCACACCCCCGUCAACAGGGGAACAACGGGUAUAUCACCCCCCCGUCUACAGGGGAACAACGGGUAUAUCACCCCCCGUCUACAGGGGAACAACGGGUAUAUCACCCCCCGUCUACAGGGGAAUAACGGGUAUAUUACACCCCCCCGUCUACAGGGGAACAGGUAUAUCACCCCCCAUCUACAGGGGAACAACGGGUAUAUCCCACCCCCCAUCUACAGGGGAACAACGGGUAUAUUACACCCCCCCGUCUACAAGGGAACAGGUAUAUCACCCCCCAUCUACAGGGGAACAACGGGUAUAUCACCCCCCGUCUACAGGGGAACAACGGGUGUAUCACCCCCCCCGUCUACAGGGGAACAACGGGUAUAUCACACCUCCCCCCCGUCUACAGGGGAACAACGGGUAUAUCACCCCCCCGUCUACAGGGGAACAACGGAUAUAUCACCCCCCGUCUACAGGGGAACAACGGGUAUAUCACACCCCCCCCCCCCCGUCUACAGGGGAACAACGGGUAUAUCACCCCCCACCUACAGGGGAACAACGGGUAUAUUACCCCCCGUCUACAGGGGAACAACGGGUAUAUCACCCCCUGUCUACAGGGGAACAACGGGUAUAUCACCCCCCCGUCUACAGGGGAACAACGGGUAUAUCACACCCCCCCGUCUACAGGGGAACAACGGGUAUAUCAACCCCCCGUCUACAGGGGAACAACGGGUAUAUCACCCCCCCGUCUACAGGGGAACAACGGGUAUAUCACACCCCCCCGUCUACAGGGGAACAACGGGUAUAUCACCCCCCCGUCUACAGGGGAACAA